rnacentral:rRNA from 1 species
CCGCGUUCCGUCGGCCGCCUGGGGGGUNCGGUCGCAAGAUUAAAACUCAAAUGAAUUGACGGGGGCCCGCACAAGCGGUGGAGCAUGUGGUUUAAUUAGAUGCAACGCGAAGAACCUUACCUACUCUUGACAUCUACAGAAGCCAGCGGAGACGCAGGUGUGCCUUCGGGAACUGUAAGACAGGUGCUGCAUGGCUGUCGUCAGCUCGUGUUGUGAAAUGUUGGGUUAAGUCCCGCAACGAGCGCAAUCCUUAUCCUUGUUUGCCAGCACUUCGGGUGGGAACUCCAGGGAGACUGCCGGUGAUAAACCGGAGGAAGGUGGGGACGACGUCAAGUCAUCAUGGCCCUUACGAGUAGGGCUACACACGUGCUACAAUGGCGCAUACAGAGGGCGGCCAACUUGCGAAAGUGAGCGAAUCCCAAAAAGUGCGUCGUAGUCCGGAUUGGAGUCUGCAACUCGACUCCAUGAAGUCGGAAUCGCUAGUAAUCGUGGAUCAGAAUGCCACGGUGAAUACGUUCCCGGGCCUUGUACACACCGCCCGUCACACCAUGGGAGUGGGCUGCAAAAGAAGUGGGUAGUUUAACCUUCGGGAGGACGCUCACCACUUUGUGGUUCAUGACUGGGGUGAAGUCGUAACAAGGUAACCG